CACUCCUGCGGGAGGCAGCAGUGGGGAAUAUUGCACAAUGGGCGCAAGCCUGAUGCAGCCAUGCCGCGUGUAUGAAGAAGGCCUUCGGGUUGUAAAGUACUUUCAGCGGGGAGGAAGGCGAUAAGGUUAAUAACCUUGUUGAUUGACGUUACCCGCAGAAGAAGCACCGGCUAACUCCGUGCCAGCAGCCGCGGUAAUACGGAGGGUGCAAGCGUUAAUCGGAAUUACUGGGCGUAAAGCGCACGCAGGCGGUCUGUCAAGUCGGAUGUGAAAUCCCCGGGCUCAACCUGGGAACUGCAUUCGAAACUGGCAGGCUAGAGUCUUGUAGAGGGGGGUAGAAUUCCAGGUGUAGCGGUGAAAUGCGUAGAGAUCUGGAGGAAUACCGGUGGCGAAGGCGGCCCCCUGGACAAAGACUGACGCUCAGGUGCGAAAGCGUGGGGAGCAAACAGGAUUAGAAACCCCGGUAGUCCCAU
rnacentral:rRNA from 1 species